GAUCAUUACCGAGUGAGGGCCCUCUGGGUCCAACCUCCCACCCGUGUUGCACGAACCUGUGUUGCUUCGGCGGGCCCGCCGAAGCCCCCCUCUGAACGCUGUCUGAAGUUGCAGUCUGAGACAACUAGCUAAAUUAGUUAAAACUUUCAACAACGGAUCUCUUGGUUCCGGCAUCGAUGAAGAACGCAGCGAAAUGCGAUAACUAAUGUGAAUUGCAGAAUUCAGUGAAUCAUCGAGUCUUUGAACGCACAUUGCGCCCUCUGGUAUUCCGGAGGGCAUGCCUGUCCGAGCGUCAUUGCUGCCCUCAAGCACGGCUUGUGUGUUGGGCCCCGUCCCCCCCGCUCCGGGGGGGACGGGCCCGAAAGGCAGCGGCGGCACCGCGUCCGGUCCUCGAGCGUAUGGGGCUUCGUCACCCGCUCUU
rnacentral:misc_RNA from 1 species